rnacentral:rRNA from 1 species
AGGUGUUNGCAGAAUANUNAUAUUGUCUAGCUUUUUAGUUAGGUAGUAUAUUUUCUGCUUUAAAUAUGCUAGUCCUUUCAUGAUUGUGUGAUAGGUGGUGCAUGNCCGUUCUUAGUUCGUGGAGUGAUCUGUCUGCUUAAUUGCGUUUCACAUUGGAUUUUACAAUAAUGUUAUUGAAAAAUCUUUUAAACGUGACACUCUUACUUGUUUUACAUUUAAGAUUGCUGUCCGUUUAAUUUUUUCGAUAACAUGAUAAAAUCCCGAAGGCAACGAACGUGACCGCAACCUCUUGUUGCCUCCCGUUCUUAACAGAAAAAUUGAUAUUAAUAUUAUGUAGAAAUAUGUUUUAUUUUGUUUUUUUUUCUGAGCGGAGGGAAACUAGAGGGACCGCUGCGAAAUCUUUAAACCAGAGGAAGGUUGCGGCAAUAACAGGUCUGUGAUGCCCUUAGAUGUUCCGGGCUGCACACGUGCUACAAUGAUUAUUGCAGUGAGCAUCUUACAAAGUUCGUGUGCAACAAGAUAAUAUUAAAAAUAAUGUUAUUCUUGUUUUGCAUAAUAAAACGACUAGCCUGCUUCGAAAGUAAGUAGGUAAUCAAUUCGAAGUAAUGAUUUCCACCGCACGAUAACAAUGUGUUUGUGAUGUGAGCAAAAUUUUGCUUCGGCAUUUUUUUGUUUCUUUCACUAAUGCAUGUGCUCCUUUAAUUCAUGGUGGGGACAGACCAUUGCUAAUUGUUGGUCUCGGUCUCAACUAGGAAUGCCUUGUACGGGUCUUUGGUUCAACAGACCACCCGGAAUACGUCCCUGCCCUUUGUACACACCGCCCGUCGCUCUUACCGAUGGACUUCUCUGUGAGUUUGAGGGACUGGAAAUUCAUUUCUAUGGAAACUUAAACGAACAGUGUGGUCUAAAGGAAAGAGAAGUCGAACAAGGCA